UACGUAGGGCGCAAGCGUUGUCCGGAAUUAUUGGGCGUAAAGGGCUCGUAGGCGGUCCAUCGCGUCGGGGAGUGAAAAGCUGGGGCUCAACCCCAGUCCUGCUUUCGAUACGGGUGGACUAGAGGUAGGCAGGGGAGAACGGAAUUCCUGGUGUAGCGGUGAAAUGCGCAGAUAUCAGGAGGAACACCAAUUGCGAAGGCAGCUCGCUGGGACGGUACUGACGCUGAGGCGCGAAAGCGUGGGGAGCGAACAGG
rnacentral:rRNA from 1 species